rnacentral:rRNA from 1 species
AAUUUUCCGCAAUGGGCGAAAGCCUGACGGAGCAACGCCGCGUGCGGGAAGACGGCCUGUGGGUUGUAAACCGCUUUUCUCUGGGAAGAAUAAGUUGACGGUACCAGAGGAAUCAGCAUCGGCUAACUCCGUGCCAGCAGCCGCGGUAAUACGGAGGAUGCAAGCGUUAUCCGGAAUUAUUGGGCGUAAAGCGUCCGCAGGCGGCUUAUCAAGUCUGCUGUUAAAGGUCGGGGCUCAACUCCGGUUAGGCAGUGGAAACUGAUAGGCUAGAGUGUGGUAGGGGUAGAGGGAAUUCCCAGUGUAGCGGUGAAAUGCGUAGAUAUUGGGAAGAACACCAGUGGCGAAGGCGCUCUACUGGGCCACAACUGACGCUGAGGGACGAAA